GCAAUUACUAAUUACUUAAGGUCAAAUAAGUACGCUAAAUAAGUUUUAUAUGAAACGAUUUUAAUAUUUAAUAAAAACCAAACUUAAGAGUACAUUAUUAAUACGGGGAAAAGCACUUAUGAAAGCAUGUAGUAUAAAAACAUCAGAUAUCAACAAGUUUAUACGAAUAUAGGUACACGCACCAGUAAAACCUUUUCAUGGCCCAAACGUGUACAAUAUAUGGUGUUGCUUUUACUUACCUAAUUCGUAAUUUUUAUUGAUAAAUGUGCAAGUGUGAACAAUUAAUAUUUUUAAAUACCGUCAUAAAAACUCUUUUUGCACGUAACAUUAUAUAAUUGUAUGAAAAAUAUUUUUAUCUGUUUUCAGGCACAUAGCCAAGGAGAGGAUCCAUGGAGCCUAAACUCUCCCUGAAAUUUAAGUUUUUCAUCAAAAAAUACUAUGAUUUUUUUCCUAUUACAUUUUAAUUUUUCCCUCCCCCUCCCGAGAC